UCUUUCUUUUCUUUCUUUUUCUUUCUCAUUCUCGACGAUCUCCUCCGCGUUCUCGGCCGAAACCGACGAUCGGAACCGAUGACGACUCUCUUGUCCUCACGGAGUCUAGUCCCACUUGUCUCGUCUUCUCCAUCGGAUCAAGGAUCGAACCCGACGACGGACGACGUCUCUCUGGCUCCACACGGAGAUUCUUCCUCCUUGUCGGCCUAAACCGAUGAUCGAAACCGAGGACGACUCUGUUGGCUCCUCCGUCGACGACUAUGUCCGUGUUGACGGCGUCUCCUCCGUCGGUCUUUCACCUUCGUCUAGGGAACCAACAUCAGCAUCCAGGGAAGCGAAAGAGAGCAUCACGAUCUGUUUAGAGAAGGCAAGUAUAUGGCUUCACAGAGUGUGGUGGGUACGAGUAUGAGCAGACUUACGCCUUCUUGCCUCUCCUUCCCUUCUUCAUCUCCCUUCUCUCUCGCACAGUUUUUGCACCUUUGGUUCCGUUGAUUGGUCUUCGAGCUGUAUUGGUGUUGUCUGGUUACGUUGUCACCAACUUGGCCUUCGUAUUUGCUGCUCUCUAUCUCUUCAGAGUUUCAGUUAUUAUCUUGAAGGACACUGAAGCUUCAUUCCGAGCUUUUGUUAUCUUCUGUUUCAACCCGGCAUCCAUAUUCUAUUCAUCAAUAUAUUCAGAAAGUCUGUAUGCUCUGUUUUCAAUUGGAAGCGUGUACCACUUGUUAUCUGGCGCCAGCAAUGUAGCUGUUCUCUGGUUUUCUCUCUCUGGCUGUGCAAGGGAAAAUAAGUGAGCCUCCUACAUGGGUUUGUGAGGCUUCAGGAAACAUGGGUUUGUUUGAUUGUGAGGCUUCAGGAAACGCCUGGUGAUAUAAUUGAGUUAGGUUAUAGUUGUGAUGAAUGCUCGAUUAGUGGCUGUGAUGAAUGCUUGUUAGGACUGUGUGGUAGAUAAUAUGUGUGUUUCUUUAAGCUGAAAAAUGUAUGUUUUAAGUUUAUGUGAUAUGUACUGUAUGAGUUUCUGUUCUUGUAUAAUUAUAAAAAAAUAUGUUUCAAGUU